GGGAGCAAGAUGGAGUCACAGACACAGGUCCUCAUGUCCUUGCUCAUCUGGGUAUCUGGAGCCUGUGCAGAUAUCGUGAUGACCCAGUCUCCAUCCUCCAUGACUGUGUCAUUAGGAGAGAAGGUCACCAUCAGCUGUAAGUCCACUCAGAGUCUUUUUAACAGUAAUUACAAGAAAAUCUUCUUGAACUGGCACCAACAGAAACCAGGAGAGGCUCCUAAACUGCUGAUCUACUAUGCAUCCACUCGGGGUACUGGAGUCCCUGAUCGCUUCAUAGGCAGUGGAUCUGAGACAGAUUUCACUCUCACCAUCAGCAGUAUCCAGGCUGAAGAUCUGGCAGAUUACUACUGUAUGCAAUCUUAUGAGUAUCCUCCCACAGUGCUUCAGCCUCCAACAAAGACUUCUGAGAGUCUCAACAGCUGCCUGCACCACAGGCUGCCCUGCGCCUGCACACUUCGUUCUGCCUGGGAGACAGGGAGCUUGGAACUUUGA